GACGAACGCUGGCGGCGUGCUUAAUACAUGCAAGUCGAACGGAAAGGCCCUGCUUUUGUGGGUUGCUCGAGUGGCGAACGGGUGAGUAACACGUGUGUAACCUGCCCCUGUCAUUGGGAGAUAUUCAGGAAACUCGGGCUAAUACCGGAUAGGAGCUUCUGCUGCACGGUGGUGGUUGGAAAGUUUCGGCGGUUGGGGAUGGUAUCGCGGUGUAUCAGCUAGUUGGUGAGGUUGCGGCUUUCCAAGGCUACGAAGGGUAGCCGACCUGAGAGGGUGAUCGGACACACUGGAACUGAGACACGGUCCAGACUCCUAAGGGAGGCAGCAGUAGGGAAUCUUCCGCAAUGGGCGAAAGCCUGACGGAGCAACGCCGCGUGAGUGAUGAAGGUCUUCGGAUCGUAAAACUCUGUUAUGAGGGAAGAACAUACGUGUAAGUAACUGUGCACGUCUUGACGGUACCUAAUCAGAAAGCCACGGCUAACUACGUG
rnacentral:rRNA from 1 species